AACACAAGCUCGGAUCUCAGUUCUGCACUCAUCACCUGUGAGGAUCGCCAAUACCAAGACUCCGCCGGCGGCAGGUUCACUCCGCAGAAACGACACCCCAAGUUCUCCAGGCGGCACAAGGCCUGUGACACGGCCAAAUUGCACUCUGGCAAAUUUCCAUCAAAAAACAAAAUAAAGAAGAAAAAAAUCUGAAAAAUAUUGCAGGAAAUGGCUUCAGAUGUGAAAAUUAGAAAGCCACCGAAUUUGUUUUUGCAAAAUAAUAUAAAGUAGAAAAAAAGAAAAUCCAAAGUGAUGAAAAACAAAUCAAUGCACCAAAAAUGAAGACAAGGCCCCCGAAACAGCAACUUGUUGCCAGGCUGUGCAGGGCUGCUGUGCAGAUUGUUGGAGGCAGAGGGUUAAAAUCCAGCUAGUAGUGAGUGAAAAAAACAAAAACCCCAGAGCCUGUAUGGAAGGGCGGGUUGGGGGAGGCCCUGACUGUAGAAAUAGCAGCAGAUAUUUUUUUCUUCUUUUUUUUUUCCGCUCGCUGAGCUCAAGUCUCCCCCUUGCGUGUGGCUGAGGCAGAAAGUGGGGAGCAACCGAAAACAGAACGACCAAAAGCAGGAGAAACAGCAGAGGCGCACAGUGAACGAGAGAUGAUGAAAGUGGAGGUAUGGUGGAGCGGGCAAACCAGUCACUUUUUCAUCACAUGUCCAACAUGACAAGGAACUGUAUGUACACUGGAGACGAGAGGGGGGAAGGCGGAGGGAGCAGAAGAUGGGUGAGAGACAGAGAUGCAGAGAGAGAGACAGAGAGAGAGAGAGAGAGAGAGAGUGGGAGGGUGGAAAGCACUAAAUGUAGGAGGGGUAGAGGAGGAAGAAUGACAUACAAAUCCACUCCGGCAGCGCGCAGACGCAGUGUGCGCCCUCGUGCGCCAUACUCGGACACACUUUACAGCGCCUCAACAUAUCAACUGGUGAAAAUAAAGAGAAUGCACAGCACUUCACAGAGCUGGCUGAAUUAUUAACCUGUUCUCUCGCCGCGCCGGGGCUCCGGCUGCUGCCGCUGCAGCCCGUUCUGAAAGAGCUGAGCGCUUCAAAGGCGCUAGUGUGAACGCACAGAACAGGCCAGAAGCACAUGUGGAAGAAAAAGAUAAGCUUCUGCAGUGUUUAUUUCAGUAAUGUGUGGGCUUGGACCCUCCUCCUGUCACAAAGCAGAUGCGACACUAAAGCUAAAACCUUACAGCUAUUUUGGCACCCAGUCAAAAAAGGCUGAUAGUCUGCGAGCUUCUUUUAUUUAAUCUGCACAGGGACAAACAGCUGCCACAGUAAAGCAGCAAGAAACCCCGUCACCGUCCCUAAAAGAGGUGAAAUUUUUUUUUAAAGUUGCAAAGAUGUGCCGAGCUCUAUCCAACACGUGCACGGUAGAAAUGGAGGGACGGCUGGUUUCCACCAUCUUAGAUGGUAUCGAUUAUUCCUUGCCGAGUCCCUCGCACAUGCUAGCUCUCUCUCUCUCCCCUUUUUUUGCUCCUCCCUCUUUCUGCCACCUACUCUCCUCGGCAAUCAGCGUUUGGCUUUUUCCAUUUGUGGCGUAUUACUGUAACGCUAUUGUACAACAAAUUCCUGCCUGAUUUUGGUUUGGGCUCCAAAAGCAGGAGAGGCUGAGCUCGUACAGGCAAAGCUACCCCCCCCCCCACCCCUCCAACUCCCCCCCACACUCACGCCUAAAAUCCUUGAUGUUGAACUACAGGAGCUCUGUGGAGGAGAGAAAAAGGAACUAUGUAAAGUGUGGGACUGUGGGACUAUUAAAAACUGCUGAGAGUUGAAGAGGGAUUGCAACCCGGCAGGGACAAAAGGUGGGGGCUCAACUUUUACGACUUUUUUCACUGAGAAAAACUCUUUUUUCUUUGGAGUUUCUUAGUGGGGCUGGAGCGCAGACAGAUUUAUCUAACAUGGCUGCUGCUGUCGGCUGUCGCAACACGGCCGCCUCCCCUGCUCCUGGCCGGCUCUCCUCCUCACUACAGAGAGACGUGGAGUCUCCACAGUUAACUCUCGCCGCUGCCUCUCUCUCUCUCUCAGCUCAACAGGUUCUCCAGCUCAGAGCUGCAGGGAUAUGAAAUUACACCAAGCAGUGGAGCCACAAAGACAAACUAUAUUUGCACUUAGCCGUUUGCAAACAUCAAGGAGGCAUUAGUCAGAUGAGGAAGGGGCUGGUUCUCUGCUUGGUCAGCAACUACCGCUACAUCAACAUACCAGCCGUGACAUGUGACACAUAAAAACACAAACGGACUUAUUCAAAGGGGUACGAGCUAACCACAGGCGGAUCCUACGCGAGGAGGGAAGAUGUUUUACUCGCUCUCCAGCAGCAGGAGCCUAUGAGGUGGGCUCGUUUAAGCAUCACACGUGUCUAAACAACUUCUCUAUUACACCCGAGACCUUUGCGGGCACUCCACAUCGAGAGGGGAACAAAGGCCGUGACCCCGGGGUCAAAAGCUUUACACGGAGGGCCAAGCAGCCCCAUUCAGGGUCCCUCUGAUGUUUGCUUUAAGGAGGUAAAGAUUACUAACACAUUAACUAAUGCCGAUUAGGGGGUUAUCCCUCAUGGGACCGAGGUCCCAGCGCGGCACAUCAUGUCUUAUUAACACAAGCUGACCUUUGACCCCAUCCAUCACCUCACGCAGCAGACUGUGACCGCCACUUUCUGCUUUCACACACGCACAGAGGCGUCAGCGAGCACGAGCGCACCCGAGCACCAAUGCAGACGAGCGCCACUUCACCUCAAAAUAUCACUGCAAGGUCAAAGGUCGUCCAUUCAAGUGCAGGACAGCUCAAAUCAUCAGGAAAAGCGCGACAAGUGGGAUUUCCCGAUCAAACCCGAGCCGUGUGAAAUCAUUUGCUUUCUGGGGCUUUGACGUCAGAGUGUGUGCAAGCAAAGUUCAUAAAAUGGGGUCUGUGCAAUAAACUUCUCAUCACAAAAUGGUGGCCAUGAGACA